rnacentral:rRNA from 1 species
AAGGCCUUCGGGUCGUAAAACUCUGUUAUCAGGGAAGAACAAGCAUUGGUUAACUGCCAGUGCCUUGACGGUACCUGACCAGAAAGCCACGGCUAACUACGUGCCAGCAGCCGCGGUAAUACGUAGGUGGCAAGCGUUGUCCGGAAUUAUUGGGCGUAAAGCGCGCGCAGGCGGCUUCUUAAGUCUGAUGUGAAAGCCCACGGCUCAACCGUGGNAGGGUCAUUGGAAACUGGGAGGCUUGAGUGCAGAAGANAAGAGCGGAAUUCCACGUGUAGCGGUGAAAUGCGUAGAGAUGUGGAGGAACACCAGUGGCGAAGGCGGCUCUUUGGUCUGUAACUGACGCUGANGCGCGAAAGCGUGGGGAGAGAACAGGAUUAGAUACCCUGGUAUUCCACGCCGUAAAACGAUGAGUGCUAAGUGUUAGGGGGUUUCCGCCCC